AGAGAGAGAAGGAGAACCAGAUCCCCCAACUUUCUCUGUCUUCGACGCGUUCAAGUAAACACUCGACUCUGAUCUCCAUCCAAAAAAUCGCCAAACUGUUUCUCCUCUCUCUCUGUCUGCAGAACAGAGAAACCCAUGGAACAAUAAAAAGAAAAGAAAAAAAAUAAUAAUAAGACAGGAGAAUCAGAGCACUGAGCUUUUCUCUCUUUAACGCCUUCGAGUCUCUCUCUGAGCCAAAGCCCUCUUCUUUCUUUCUUUGCUCGCUUCGUGGUUCGCUUUAUCUUUGUGGGAAUUCGAACUCGUUUUCGGGUCGCGGUGGCAGCGGCAUGACGACUUUUCCUCCUGAGGAAAUGGGGGGAAAGAGGAAGGAUAAUGGCGGUUGCGAUACCUUUCACGACUUCUUGGGCAUGAACCGCGGGGAUCCCGUCCAGCUCGCUGCUGCGUGGGCGCAGGGCGGGGGUAAGCGGGCCGCUGCGGAGGCGGCGCCAGAGGGUGAGGCGGAGGCAUUGGCGUCCAUGGGACUCUCGUCCGGCGGGCAUGACCUUGUUUUGGGAAAUUCCAAUCUGGGUUCAGGUUAGCUGGGCUUGGUUCUUCUCUGUAUUCUUGCUGUCCUUCUAUUUCUUUUGUUUUAGGGUUUUAUGCCUGCUGUGGUUUAUUGUUGCUAUUCUUUGAGUUCGUUGUUUCGUUCUUUUUGAGUGUCUUGGAUUUUUUUUCCCCCUAAAUAUAUCCUUUCAUCUUUGGAUUUGGGCUUCUGUUGUUUUUUAUUCCUCCUGUGGUUUCUUGUUGCUUUCAUGGGAAUGGAAUUCACUUGGGGAUUCAGUUCUUCUAUCAAGACUCGUCCGGAGGCCUCCGGUGAGCCGGUGAGGUCUCCCACUCUCUCUCCUUACCUUCCUCCGCGCGUACCGACACUCGGCAAGAUCUCCCUCUCUUCCUCUCCUUCUCCCCCUCUCUUUCUUCUGCCUCUCCCUUCUCUGCCCUGUCGGUUCGCGCCGGUCCUGUCCGGUACCGAGCCGUACCGCCAGCCGACCGGCACGGGCUCCGUUACCGAGUCCGCGAACCUACUUCAGACAGCUUUCAGAGAGUUGGCUACCCCAAGUGCAGCCGUGCUUCCCCAUGCUUUGACUAUCAGUCGCAUGUGGAUAUGCAAAAUGUUGUUAUAAAGAGGUUAUGUAAGCUGCCCAUCAAUUGAAACAUUUAAUUAACGCUAAGAGAUCUUCUUGUUAUCUCUUAAUGAAUUGGUUGGAUUUGACCUAAUAUUUUUCUUGGAAAAAAAAAAAUAGAAACCUUCUUGUUAUUUCUUCUCAAAAUUCUUUACAAAUUCUAAUUUGAUUCUUCUCUUUCCAUCUAGUUAAUCAUCUAUUAUCUUAUUGAAGUCAUUCUCUAAUAUAAAUGAUGCAUCUCUCCUAUGUGAUCCUCCAGGGAGGUGGUAGCUUCUUAUAAGAUUGCCGCGUAUUUUUUGUUAUGUUAACUUUGCCACUUUCUCUUAUUUGCUGUCUUCUGCAUGAACUUUGGAUCAUUAUCUCCCUCUCUAAAUCAUAUAAUGCUGUACCAUAUCUUCAAAAGAUCCCUUUGCCAAUCAUUCUUUUUCAUCCUUGUUCAUCAAUCUUAUUGGCCUGCUUACUCCAGUUUUCCCUUUCUGCAUGCUCUCUUUUAACUCAGAUUUGCAUCCUGCUUCUAGGUUUAGUUCUAAGCAACUGAAUUUCAUUAGAAGCUAUACACCAACAGAACCAGCAAUGCUGCAUGAUGAUGGUUCCUAUGCAAUCAUCUUAAUAUGCACCUUGAGAGGUCUGCUCUGCAUCCUUUUACUCCAGUGAAAAUUUGUGUGCCCCAAAUUGUAUCAUUUAUUGCCUAAAAGGGACCAGUGAAUAUUGACCCCAAACAACCAACAUUGGAAACCUAUCUAUCCUUGUUGACCAAAGUUAGCUCUUUUGUUCGCCCAAAGAGGUGGCAAGGACUAGUCGGUGAGAUAAUUUCACAUAUGAUGUUUAAAAAGUUUCUUAUUAUCAAUGAAAACUGGUUCAAAUGCAUGUUCAGGAAAAGAAUUUGUUAGGAUAGUGAGCACUUCUAUACUAAAUUUGAUAAGGGUCAAAGUGCAGACACAAAUUAUCAAUCUUCCUUUGAAAUUUUCCAGUUGAUUUAUCCACUUUUUAAGAAAAAUUCAGUGACUACUGAGGAAAGCUUUGUUAUUUCCUAUUCUAACGUCACUCUUAUUUUGAGCAUAAUGUUAGAUCAGUAGUUUCUUGAACAAUCGUAAUGCCCUAUGUGAUGGCUUUGGGCCUUUCUAAUGCUAUGGCCAUUACAUGGUUCUUAUGUAUUCUGCAUAACAAGCAUUAUCAAACUUUUAUUGGUUUUUAAUUUAUCAACAUUAUUCAUAUUAAUUAUUUUAAUAGCAUAUGUUAGAUUCUUAAUGGCUUUGCAUCUAUGUUUUGAGGAACUAUAAUGACCAUUUUAAAUAUACAUCAUCUAACUUUUAAUCUUUUUUUUUUUUUUUUUGUUAACAUUAUUAGUAUUAAUGGUAGACUGUUGUAUAACCAUCAUUUGCUGUGUCAGGUUAUGGUAUCAUAAAAUUCUUAGAUGAGGGACCUGAAGACAGUGCAAAAACCAAAAUUGGAUCCAAUAUUUGCUUUUCUUUUCUUCAUCCUUUACUUUCUAAUUUUAAUUCUUGGCCGCUAAACAAGAAAAUACAGUGACUAGAUAUAUCAGCAUAGGCCUAAAAAUGGGGUACCCUAAACCUCCUUUGCUGAUCUUCAAUGAAGAUUAUGAGUGAUUCUGAAGCUCUUUUUACUGAGUGGUACCAAAGAUAGUGGAGCAUUCUUAAAAGAGUACCUAUGUAUUUAAAGAGAUGAAGGUGCAUCUUCCUUUUACAGGGUGUAUAUACAUCUGCCUUUUCCUGGCCAUUCUCCGCAUUUAUGGCUUUGUCAAGAAACUUAUCUUUAAUUUAACCCAGUUUCUUCUAGGACUUUCCAUUUUUCUUGUGAAGUGAUAUUCCACUUUUCUUUCCUCUUGAUAUUAACUAAAUAUCUUUUGUGCUUACCGGAACCUUUUUCAACUUCAUAGCCUAGAUUUAUUGCAUUACCAGUUAUAACCAGUUGUGUCCCAUGGAAGACAUGGUAGUAUUAGUUAGUGCGUAGUAGUGACUUUUGUUUCGGUAAUUCCCAUGAGAAUUGAGGUCAACUACGCUUAUAAUUUAACAAUGAGAGUAGGCAUAUUGGUUGAGGAGAGAGGGUGUUGGCCGUAAGGAUAGCUGCAGGGUUGGGUUAGAGGCUUAUUUACUAUAAUAAGCCGUGAGGGCAUGGUGAAAUAGGUGUGUUAAAAAUUUUUAAUGAGGAAGGUACUGCAGGAAUGAGUUUUCAAAAGAUUCCAAAACAGGUUUGGCACCCUAAGCAUAAGUCACAGAUGAAAGAUGAGGGGGUAGAUGGUGGAAGUGGAAAAAUUCUUAUGGUUGAUGAUAAUUUUGUUGGAGAGGCAAUAGGGGUGGAGGGCAUUGGCAAGGUCAAGGUGGGGGAUGAUGUUACUAUGGUCUUGGAAGGGGGAUGAGGAGGACGUGAGGAGUUCAGCAGUUAGUCAUUCUCUCUCUCUCUCUCUCUCUCUAGACUGCUAUACAGCCAUCCUCUGCUUUGCCCACUGACCAUCCGCCCCAUUACCCCAUUGGCUGUCCUAACCAAUUAAGCCAGAAGAAAACUCAAUUAUUGUGUUUGCUCACACCGACUAAAAUUUAAUGUGAAAAAUAAAAUCCAAUAGUUUAAUAUUUACCAAAGCAAGAUCUAACUAUAUACUAUUAUACAAAAAGAGCUCUUAUGGUUGGGCAUGUGAUCCAGCCCCUAGAAGUAAAGCCUCCAUCUGCACGACUUAUGUCUAAAUAUGCAUGGGCAUGUAAAGGGUUACUCCAGAAGCACACAAAGGCAGACUGCUCACUCUUUUUUCCCUUCAAAAACACAACUCCAAGAGCCUAUCUUUUCCCACUCUUCCCCCAUGUUAAUAGGCACAUGCAUAGCACCUGCAAUAUACUUGUUCCUGCGAAUCUGUGAAUUUCUCAUAGUUGAACAAAGCAUGGAAGGAAGUUAUAUAGAUGGCACUGUUAUGGCUAUUUGUUUUCUAGCAUCAAUUUGGGACUACAAUUUUCAAUUUCUUGGUUAAAGUUUAUAAAGCUCCCCCCUUUGGUUCCUGUCUAUUUGGUUGGGCUCAGCUUCAUUUAUACACUACGGGAGCAUGUGUUUGUAUGUGCUAUUUUGCUUUUUAAAUAAGAAAAGCUUAACUUGGAUGACUGCUUAAUUUAUCAGGUAAUUUAACUAUGGGUUUGACACUUAGUUUAACAAUGAUCGUGUAUCUGUUAUCGCAUCUUCAACCUUACAAGACAUUCUUCCCUGUUUAAGUUCAUGAUCCUUGGGGUUUGACUACUUUGCAUAGAAUGCUAUAUUUGUAUGACAUAAAAUUCUACUUACAUAUAUUCCUCUCCUGUGAGAGUGCUGCAAUUAACAUUCGGUCCUGUUUGCCAUUGUCAGCUAACCAGCAUGCAGUUUCAUGAGUAAGAUGUCAAAUGAUAAUGUUAUGUGGAAUAACGGGCAGAUNNN
rnacentral:lncRNA from 1 species